GGGUUGUGAGGUUAAGCGACUAAGCGUACACGGUGGAUGCCCUGGCAGUCAGAGGCGAUGAAGGACGUGCUAAUCUGCGAUAAGCGUCGGUAAGGUGAUAUGAACCGUUAUAACCGGCGAUUUCCGAAUGGGGAAACCCAGUGUGAUUCGUCACACUAUCAUUAACUGAAUCCAUAGGUUAAUGAGGCGAACCGGGGGAACUGAAACAUCUAAGUACCCCGAGGAAAAGAAAUCAACCGAGAUUCCCCCAGUAGCGGCGAGCGAACGGGGAGCAGCCCAGAGCCUGAAUCAGUGUGUGUGUUAGUGGAAGCGUCUGGAAAGGCGUGCGAUACAGGGUGACAGCCCCGUACACAAAAAUGCACAUGCUGUGAGCUCGAUGAGUAGGGCGGGACACGUGGUAUCCUGUCUGAAUAUGGGGGGACCAUCCUCCAAGGCUAAAUACUCCUGACUGACCGAUAGUGAACCAGUACCGUGAGGGAAAGGCGAAAAGAACCCCGGCGAGGGGAGUGAAAAAGAACCUGAAACCGUGUACGUACAAGCAGUGGGAGCACGCUUAGGCGUGUGACUGCGUACCUUUUGUAUAAUGGGUCAGCGACUUAUAUUCUGUAGCAAGGUUAACCGAAUAGGGGAGCCGAAGGGAAACCGAGUCUUAACUGGGCGUUAAGUUGCAGGGUAUAGACCCGAAACCCGGUGAUCUAGCCAUGGGCAGGUUGAAGGUUGGGUAACACUAACUGGAGGACCGAACCGACUAAUGUUGAAAAAUUAGCGGAUGACUUGUGGCUGGGGGUGAAAGGCCAAUCAAACCGGGAGAUAGCUGGUUCUCCCCGAAAGCUAUUUAGGUAGCGCCUCGUGAAUUCAUCUCCGGGGGUAGAGCACUGUUUCGGCAAGGGGGUCAUCCCGACUUACCAACCCGAUGCAAACUGCGAAUACCGGAGAAUGUUAUCACGGGAGACACACGGCGGGUGCUAACGUCCGUCGUGAAGAGGGAAACAACCCAGACCGCCAGCUAAGGUCCCAAAGUCAUGGUUAAGUGGGAAACGAUGUGGGAAGGCCCAGACAGCCAGGAUGUUGGCUUAGAAGCAGCCAUCAUUUAAAGAAAGCGUAAUAGCUCACUGGUCGAGUCGGCCUGCGCGGAAGAUGUAACGGGGCUAAACCAUGCACCGAAGCUGCGGCAGCGACGCUUAUGCGUUGUUGGGUAGGGGAGCGUUCUGUAAGCCUGCGAAGGUGUGCUGUGAGGCAUGCUGGAGGUAUCAGAAGUGCGAAUGCUGACAUAAGUAACGAUAAAGCGGGUGAAAAGCCCGCUCGCCGGAAGACCAAGGGUUCCUGUCCAACGUUAAUCGGGGCAGGGUGAGUCGACCCCUAAGGCGAGGCCGAAAGGCGUAGUCGAUGGGAAACAGGUUAAUAUUCCUGUACUUGGUGUUACUGCGAAGGGGGGACGGAGAAGGCUAUGUUGGCCGGGCGACGGUUGUCCCGGUUUAAGCGUGUAGGCUGGUUUUCCAGGCAAAUCCGGAAAAUCAAGGCUGAGGCGUGAUGACGAGGCACUACGGUGCUGAAGCAACAAAUGCCCUGCUUCCAGGAAAAGCCUCUAAGCAUCAGGUAACAUCAAAUCGUACCCCAAACCGACACAGGUGGUCAGGUAGAGAAUACCAAGGCGCUUGAGAGAACUCGGGUGAAGGAACUAGGCAAAAUGGUGCCGUAACUUCGGGAGAAGGCACGCUGAUAUGUAGGUGAAGCGACUUGCUCGUGGAGCUGAAAUCAGUCGAAGAUACCAGCUGGCUGCAACUGUUUAUUAAAAACACAGCACUGUGCAAACACGAAAGUGGACGUAUACGGUGUGACGCCUGCCCGGUGCCGGAAGGUUAAUUGAUGGGGUUAGCGCAAGCGAAGCUCUUGAUCGAAGCCCCGGUAAACGGCGGCCGUAACUAUAACGGUCCUAAGGUAGCGAAAUUCCUUGUCGGGUAAGUUCCGACCUGCACGAAUGGCGUAAUGAUGGCCAGGCUGUCUCCACCCGAGACUCAGUGAAAUUGAACUCGCUGUGAAGAUGCAGUGUACCCGCGGCAAGACGGAAAGACCCCGUGAACCUUUACUAUAGCUUGACACUGAACAUUGAGCCUUGAUGUGUAGGAUAGGUGGGAGGCUUUGAAGUGUGGACGCCAGUCUGCAUGGAGCCGACCUUGAAAUACCACCCUUUAAUGUUUGAUGUUCUAACGUUGACCCGUAAUCCGGGUUGCGGACAGUGUCUGGUGGGUAGUUUGACUGGGGCGGUCUCCUCCUAAAGAGUAACGGAGGAGCACGAAGGUUGGCUAAUCCUGGUCGGACAUCAGGAGGUUAGUGCAAUGGCAUAAGCCAGCUUGACUGCGAGCGUGACGGCGCGAGCAGGUGCGAAAGCAGGUCAUAGUGAUCCGGUGGUUCUGAAUGGAAGGGCCAUCGCUCAACGGAUAAAAGGUACUCCGGGGAUAACAGGCUGAUACCGCCCAAGAGUUCAUAUCGACGGCGGUGUUUGGCACCUCGAUGUCGGCUCAUCACAUCCUGGGGCUGAAGUAGGUCCCAAGGGUAUGGCUGUUCGCCAUUUAAAGUGGUACGCGAGCUGGGUUUAGAACGUCGUGAGACAGUUCGGUCCCUAUCUGCCGUGGGCGCUGGAGAACUGAGGGGGGCUGCUCCUAGUACGAGAGGACCGGAGUGGACGCAUCACUGGUGUUCGGGUUGUCAUGCCAAUGGCACUGCCCGGUAGCUAAAUGCGGAAGAGAUAAGUGCUGAAAGCAUCUAAGCACGAAACUUGCCCCGAGAUGAGUUCUCCCUGACUCCUUGAGAGUCCUGAAGGAACGUUGAAGACGACGACGUUGAUAGGCCGGGUGUGUAAGCGCAGCGAUGCGUUGAGCUAACCGGUACUAAUGAACCGUGAGGCUUAACCUUACAACGCCGAAG
rnacentral:rRNA from 1 species